AUGGCACAGAUACCACCUACUGCAGUUGGAGAGAGACAUGCAGGUACUGAGGGUGGGCCAAUUAGGAGAAAUCCAGCUGGAAAUGUGGCUAGACCAAUGGUGCAACGUCUUCCUGAACCACAGGAUGUCGCUCAGUGCUUGGAAGUUGGUUUAUUUGACACACCUCCUUUUUACUCCAAUUCUACUAACAGUUUCCGAAACACAGUGGAAGGUUACAGUGAUCCCACAGGAAAGUAUGACCCUGCUAUUCGAAGCCUUCACAAUUUGGCUCAUCUAUUUCUGAAUGGAACAGGGGGACAAACCCAUUUAUCCCCAAAUGAUCCUAUUUUUGUUCUCCUACAUACUUUCACUGAUGCAGUUUUUGAUGAAUGGCUGAGGAGAUAUAAGGCUGAUGUAUCCACAUUUCCAUUGGAAAAUGCCCCUAUUGGGCAUAAUAGACAAUACAAUAUGGUACCAUUCUGGCCUCCAGUUACCAAUGUAGAAAUGUUUGUUACUGCUCCAGACAAUCUGGGAUAUACUUACGAAGUUCAAUGGCCAAGUCGGAAUCUUAGUAUUCCUGAGAUUGUUACCAUAGCGGUAGUUGCUGCUUUAGUACUGGUUGCAGUCAUUUUUGCGGGUGCUUCUUGCCUGAUUCGUGCCAGAAGCAACAUGGAUGAAGCGAAUCAACCUCUUCUCACUGAUCAGUAUCAACACUAUGCUGACGACUAUGAAAAAAUGCAGAAUCCUAAUCAAUCUAUGGUCUAA
rnacentral:lncRNA from 12 species